UCGAUUGUAGCUCAAUGGUGGAGCGCUCCGCUCAUAACGGAGAGGUCGCGAGUUCGACUCUCGCCGAUCGAA
rnacentral:tRNA from 1 species